UGUGCAGAGAUCUUAUUUCCUACAAAACCUAACCUGGGAAUUUUCAUCUUGUGCUGUUUGAAUGCUCAAGGACUGAGCUGCCUUAAUCAGGCUUGUCUCACAAAACUGAGGAUGAGUGGCCAGCCGAGCCGGAGGAGGAGGGUGAUCUGCCCACUUGGUCCGGGUCGGAGGAGGACGAGGAUGACCAGAGCAGCACUGUCACCCUCCACCUGGAGCCAGUGGUGAGCGGCCAGGAUGUCUCCUGGGCUUCAUCCAAGACCGCAGGAACACCCAGGAAUGAGGGACCCUCCAACCCUGCGGCGGCACCACCAACCACCCAGUCCUGCACACAAGGCAGCGGGACCAGCUCCUAUGGCGGCACAUGCAGGCCAUUGAAAGAAUCAAGGUGGCAGUCAGCCGAAAGAUUGAGGCUGACCUGGAGUGGUGGCAGCAGGCAUGGGGCCAGUUCCUGCAGAGGUCCACCCUGAGGUCGCACAUCGGUCACACCAUGCACUAUGGCAUGGCCUUGCCACAUCCUCCUGCCCUCCCUGCCUUGCCCAUGCCCCCUCCAGCCACCCUUCCUACUGCCCCUCCAGCUGCUACCAUGCCCCCACCUGCUGCACCCCAUCCUGCCCACAUCCCCGUCUUGCCUGCCCCGACCCAGCCUGAAGGACGGCAAGACCUCUACACCCACCGAGGCACUAGCAGGAGCCCUCUCUCCCAGCAAUAGUGCCCCCUCCCAGUUGAGAGGCCCCUCCCGCUGCCCACC